UAAAGAUCAUAUGACUGACGGAAGUGGGAAUAACCACAUGGAGUAUGAUCGGAAAAUGCCGACCGUCUGGGCGUAAAAU
rnacentral:ncRNA from 1 species